rnacentral:rRNA from 1 species
AUUGAACGCUGGCGGCAGGCCUAACACAUGCAAGUCGAGCGGAUGAAGGGAGCUUGCUCCUGGAUUCAGCGGCGGACGGGUGAGUAAUGCCUAGGAAUCUGCCUGGUAGUGGGGGAUAACGUCCGGAAACGGGCGCUAAUACCGCAUACGUCCUGAGGGAGAAAGUGGGGGAUCUUCGGACCUCACGCUAUCAUAUGAGCCUAGGUCGGAUUAGCUAGUUGGUGGGGUAAAGGCCUACCAAGGCGACGAUCCGUAACUGGUCUGAGAGGAUGAUCAGUCACACUGGAACUGAGACACGGUCCAGACUCCUACGGGAGGCAGCAGUGGGGAAUAUUGGACAAUGGGCGAAAGCCUGAUCCAGCCAUGCCGGGUGUGUGAAGAAGGUCUUCGGAUUGUAAAGCACUUUAAGUUGGGAGGAAGGGCAGUAAGUUAAUACCUUGCUGUUUUGACGUUACCAACAGAAUAAGCACCGGCUAACUUCGUG